rnacentral:sRNA from 1 species
CAUUUGCAGAGUUUUAUAUCCAUUAAGUGCCUUUGAAAGUUUCCAGUUGUGUGGGCUGCUGUCUCACCUCCCACCAGUUUCUCCUUUCUCCAUAUGGUGCUAAAACUUCAAAGCUGAGGAGGGCUGCAGGACCCUUAGCAGAUUCAGUGUGUCACCCUUGUUCUGCGUUCAUGCCAAGGCUUCCUAAAUGAAAGACACCGGUUACCUGCUAUGGGAAGACUCUUCAUGCUGAUCGUAUCUUGCAUUGAAAUAACCAUGUGGAAGAACAAUGAAUCGAUUAAUGAUGACAUGUACAACCAUAUUUAAAGAGCAAUAGUGUCCAUGUGUCAUGAAAAACUUAUUUAUUUGUAAACGUUUAUAUGGUAUGAUUUUAUGUAUGUUCAUAAAUCCUGCGCUGUAUAUGUUAAAAUAUUGGUGCAUGAAUUUAUUUUCAAAGUAUAAAACACAUCACUUAAACAUUUUAUGUGUCAAAUAAAUAAAAUUUGAUUAUGUAAACACA